rnacentral:rRNA from 1 species
GAGAAGAAAGCCUUGUUAGGUUGUAAAUCACUUUGUAAAAUACAUUAAAAUUUUUAGAAAAAAUUUUACAAUCAAAGCUCCGGCUAAUUUCGUGCCAGCAGCCGCGGUAAAACGGGAGGAGCAAGUAUUAUUCUAAUUGACUGGGCGUAAAGGGUGCGUAGGUGGUGUAUCAAGUAGCAAAAAAAUUUUAAAUUUUAUGUUUAUAACAAAUUACUAAACUAAUUCACUAGAGCAUAGGAAAAGAUUUUGGAACUUCGAAAGUAGUAAUAAAAUACGAUGAUAUUCAAAAGAACAUCAAAAGUGAAAACAAUAAUCUGGACUAUAGCUGACACUAAGGCACGAAAGCGUAGGUAUCAAAAGGGAUUAGAUACCCCUGUAGUCUACGCCCUCAACGAUGAGUGUUUGUUUUUGAAUAAGUUUUCAGAGGCGAAGCUAAGGCAUUAAACACUUCGCCUGGGGACUACGGUCGCAAGAUUAAAACUCAAAGGAAUUGACGGGAACCCGCACAAGCGGUGGAGCAUGUGGUUUAAAUCGAAAAAACGCGCAAAACCUUACCAAUUUUUGUAUAGCAUUUUUGUUACAGGUGUUGCAUGGCUGUCGUCAGUCCGUGCCGUGAGGCGUUUGGUUAAUUCCAGCAAACGGACGAAACUUUUAUAUAAUAUAUUCAUAUAUUAUAAACUGCUCGGAAUAUCCUUGAGGAAGGAAAAAAUGACGUCAAGUCCGCAUGACCCUUAUGAAUUGGGCUACUUUCAUGUGCUACAAAGUAAUAUUUACAAUAAGAAGCAAAAGCGUGAGCUGGAGCAAAAUCUUUAAAAAAUAUUUAAUUCGGAUUAUUCUCUGCAACUCGAGAAUAUGAAGUCGUAAUCGCUAGUAAUCGUGAAUCAGAAUUGUCGCGGUGAAUAAGUUCUCGGGUUUUGUACACACCGCCCGUCACACUAUGGGAAUUUACUCUACUUGAAGAUAAAAAUGUUUAAUUUUUUUCCAUGGUAGAGGAAGGACUAGAGUGAAGUCGUAACAAGGUAACCGUAGGGGAACCUGCGGUUG